rnacentral:rRNA from 1 species
AGAGGUUUCCGUAGGUGAACCUGCGGAAGGAUCAUUAAUGAAACAUUCGAGCUGAAGGGAUUGAUGCUGGUGCUUCGGCGCAUGUGCUCGUUCCUUUGGUCUCUUAUUCCAUUCACACCUGUGCACAUCUUGAAGGGGGGAAAGCAGCAAGGGCGCGAGUCCGAGCAGCAGAACCCCUUUCGCUUUCCACAAACUCUUUAUUGAAUCAUGAACGUGAUCUGUCCGAAUGGACUUUAGAAUAAAACAACUUUUAACAACGGAUCUCUUGGCUCUCGCAUCGAUGAAGAACGCAGCGAAUUGCGAUAAGUAAUGUGAAUUGCAGAAUUCAGUGAAUCAUCGAAUCUUUGAACGCACCUUGCGCUCCCUGGUAUUCCGGGGAGCACGCCUGUUCGAGUGUCGUGAAUACCCUCAGGCAUGAAUUUGCUUGGACUUGGAGUCUGCUGGCGCGAGCCGGCUGCUCUCAAAUGCAGUAGCUGAUCUAGGGACUUGAUCUGGUUCUCGGCGUGAUAAUUCUCUGACCGCUGGGCUCGAAUGCUGGAUCUCGACCUUGGAUUGCUUCCAAUUGUUCUCAGAACAAAACUUUCAUCCUUUGACCUCGAAUCAGGUGGGACUGCCCGCUGAACUUAAGCAUAUCAAUAAGCGGAGGA